CGCGCAGGCGGCGUCGUAAGUCGGUCUUAAAAGUGCGGGGCUUAACCCCGUGAGGGGACCGAAACUGCGAUGCUAGAGUAUCGGAGAGGAAAGCGGAAUUCCUAGUGUAGCGGUGAAAUGCGUAGAUAUUAGGAGGAACACCAGUGGCGAAAGCGGCUUUCUGGACGACAACUGACGCUGAGGCGCGAAAGCCAGGGGAGCAAGCG
rnacentral:rRNA from 1 species